rnacentral:lncRNA from 1 species
GGAACUUUUGGCUUUGGUAGUUCUGGAAUUUCAGGCUUUGGCAUAGUUGGUACUUCUAGCUUUGGAAGUUCAGGGACUUUUGGCUUUGGUAGUUCUGGAAUUUCAGGUUUUGGCAUAGUUGGGACUUUUAGGUUUGGAAGCUCGGGGACUUUUGGCUUUGGUAGUUCUGGGAUUUCAGGCUUUGGCAUAGCUGGAGGAAGCUCAGUCUUUGGCGCUGCUGGGAUUUCUGGCUUUUUCAAGGGAGGAAACUCGGGUUUUGGUAUUGUUGGAAUCUCAGGCUUCGGCACAGUAGGAAUCUCGGGUUUUGGUAUAGCUGGGAUCUCAGGCUUUGGCAAAGUUGGUAAUUCAGGCUUUUGUAUAGUUGGAAUCUCUGCUUUUUUCAUAGUUGGAUGCUCAGUCUUUGGCAUUGCUGGAACUUCUGGCUUUUUCAAGGAAGGAAACUCGAGUUUUGGCAUUGUUGGAAUCUCAGGCUUUGGCAUAGAAGGAAGCUCGGGUUUCGGCACAACUGGAAUCUCAGGCUUCUGCAAAGUCGGUAAUUCAGGCUUUGGCAUAGCUGGCAUCUUAGGCUUUGGCAAAGUUGGUAACUCAGGCUUCGGGACAGUUGGUAGCUCGGGCUUUGGAACAGCGGGGAUCUCAGGCUUUGGUAUGGUUGGAAGCUCAGGCUUCGGCAGAGUUGGGAUUUCAAG